AUGCCGCUCUGGAGCUUGUCCUCGGCGCCGGCGAGCGGUGCUGAGGCGUGGAUGACCUCGCUUGCCUGUCGACGUCCAUGGAGGGCGGCGACGGAGGUCGAGGCUGGCCGGAGCUCCUUCCCCAAUAAGCUCGCGGUCAUUGUCCCUGUUCUGGAGGAUCGCCAGAGCCUCGUUCUGUUCUUCCCUUGCUGCCGUGGUGGUGGGGAGGAAGAGGGGAUGAGGUUGACAUCAAGAUCCUGCCGAUUUGGGUUGGAGCAAAUACUCACUGGUGGAUGGUGCGAACUGAUGGCACCUGCUGAGCUUGGCUGUGGCGGCCGUCAGCCUGUUCUGGAGCCGGCUUUUAGCGGUCGAUGGCCUGGUUCUCGUGCAUCGCCCAGUGACCUUUCUGGCUGA
rnacentral:rRNA from 1 species